GAGUUUGAUCGUGGUUCAGAUUGAACGCUGGCGGCAUGCCUUACACAUGCAAGUCGAACGGCAGCACGGGAGCUUGCUCCUGGUGGCGAGUGGCGAACGGGUGAGUAAUAUAUCGAAACGUACCCUAGAGUGGGGGAUAACGCAGCGAAAGUUGCGCUAAUACCGCAUACGAUCUACGGAUGAAAGUGGGGGAUCGCAAGACCUCAUGCUCAUGGAGCGGCCGAUAUCUGAUUAGCUAGUUGGUGGGGUAAAGGCCUACCAAGGCAUCGAUCAGUAGCUGGUCUGAGAGGACGACCAGCCACACUGGAACUGAGACACGGUCCAGACUCCUACGGGAGGCAGCAGUGGGGAAUUUUGGACAAUGGGGCAACCCUGAUCCAGCAAUGCCGCGUGAGUGAAGAAGGCCUCGGUGUAAG
rnacentral:rRNA from 1 species